UACGGGGGGGGCAAGCGUUGUUCGGAAUUACUGGGCGUAAAGGGCUCGUAGGCGGCCAACUAAGUCAGACGUGAAAUCCCUCGGCUUAACCGGGGAACUGCGUCUGAUACUGGAUGGCUUGAGUGUGGGAGAGGAAUGCGGAAUUCCAGGUGUAGCGGUGAAAUGCGUAGAUAUCUGGAGGAACACCGGUGGCGAAGGCGGCAUUCUGGACCAUUACUGACGCCGAGGAGCGAAAGCCAGGGGAGCAAACGGG
rnacentral:rRNA from 1 species